ACUCCACCUUCCUCCCACCCCGGGAACCCGGAAGUGGAGGAGGAGGCGCGGCGGCGGCGGCGGCGGCGGCUGCGGUGGCCAAGCAGGCAGAUACUGCCUGACCCGUUCCCGGGAGCGUGUCUGGGUUUGGGGGCGGGAGACAGGCUGAGCCGCCUGGGCGGCCUGGCCUGUACGGGGCGGGGGAGGCCAUGGCCUCGGCUGAGUUGCAGGGGAAGUACCAGAAGCUGGCUCAGGAGUACUCGAAGCUUCGGGCUCAGAAUCAGGUUCUGAAAAAAGGUGUUGUGGAUGAACAAGCAAAUUCUGCAGCUUUAAAGCUAAACUGUGAGGACCAAUCUGUUUUCACUUUGAUAUAGGAGCAACUGAAAAUGAAGGAUCAGUCAUUGAGAAAACUACAACAGGAAAUGGACAGUUUGACAUUUCGAAAUCUGCAGCUUGCCAAGAGGGUAGAACUACUUCAAGAUGAACUAGCUCUAAGUGAACCACGAGGCAAGAAAAACAAGAAAAGUGGAGAAUCUUCUUCUCAGUUGAGUCAAGAGCAGAAGAGUGUCUUUGAUGAAGAUCUGCAAAAGAAGAUAGAAGAGAAUGAACGGUUGCAUAUACAAUUUUUUGAAGCUGAUGAGCAGCACAAGCAUGUGGAAGCAGAGCUGAGGAGUCGACUGGCCACUCUGGAGACAGAAGCAGCCCAGCACCAAGCUGUGGUUGACGGUCUCACCCGGAAGUACAUGGAAACCAUUGAGAAGCUGCAGAACGACAAGGCUAAACUAGAAGUGAAAUCUCAGACUCUAGAAAAGGAAGCCAAGGAAUGUCGACUUCGAACGGAAGAAUGUCAAUUACAGUUAAAGACUCUUCAUGAAGAUUUGUCAGGUAGAUUAGAGGAAUCCUUAUCAAUCAUCAAUGAAAAAGUACCUUUUAAUGAUACAAAAUAUAGUCAGUACAACGCUCUGAACGUUCCACUCCACAAUAGGAGACACCAGCUGAAGAUGCGAGAUAUUGCUGGGCAGGCCCUGGCUUUUGUUCAGGAUCUUGUGACGGCUCUUCUAAACUUUCAUACCUACACAGAACAGAGGAUUCAAAUUUUUCCUGUUGAUUCUGCCAUUGACACUAUAUCUCCAUUGAAUCAGAAGUUCUCACAAUACCUUCAUGAAAAUGCGUCCUAUGUCCGCCCUCUUGAGGAAGGAAUGCUUCAUUUAUUUGAAAGUAUCACUGAGGAUACUGUGACUGUCUUGGAGACAACUGUGAAAUUGAAAACUUUUUCAGAACACUUAACCUCCUACAUAUGUUUUCUUAGGAAGAUUCUUCCCUAUCAGUUAAAAAGUUUAGAAGAAGAAUGUGAAUCCUCUCUUUGCACAUCUGCGUUAAGAGCCAGGAAUCUAGAGCUGUCCCAGGACAUGAAAAAAAUGACAGCUGUGUUUGAGAAGCUGCAGACUUACAUAGCUCUUCUUGCCUUGCCAAGUACAGAGCCAGAUGGACUCCUUCGGACAAACUACAGUUCUGUGUUAACAAAUGUUGGUGCUGCUCUGCAUGGAUUUCAUGACGUUAUGAAAGAUAUUUCCAAACAUUAUAGUCAAAAAGCUGCAAUAGAGCAUGAACUUCCAACAGCAACACAGAAGCUGAUAACAACUAAUGACUGUAUCCUGUCAUCAGUAGUGGCAUUAACAAAUGGAGCAGGAAAGAUUGCAUCCUUCUUCAGCAACAAUUUGGACUACUUCAUUGCUUCACUGAGCUAUGGACCUAAGGCAGCGAGUGGAUUCAUUAGUCCUCUUUCAGCUGAAUGCAUGCUACAGUAUAAGAAAAAAGCUGCUGCCUAUAUGAAGUCUUUGAGAAAGCCCCUCUUGGAGUCUGUGCCUUAUGAAGAAGCACUGGCAAACCGCCGCAUCCUUCUCAGCUCUACUGAAAGUCGAGAAGGCCUUGCACAGCAAGUUCAACAGAGUUUGGAAAAGAUUUCUAAACUGGAGCAGGAAAAAGAACAUUGGAUGUUGGAAGCACAAUUAGCCAAAAUCAAGCUAGAGAAAGAAAACCAGCGAAUUGCAGAUAAGCUGAAGAAUACAGGUAGUGCCCAGCUGGUUGGGCUGGCCCAGGAAAAUGCUGCUGUGUCAAAUACUGCUGGCCAGGAUGAAGCCACAGCUAAGGCUGUGUUGGAGCCCAUUCAGAGCACCAGUCUAAUUGGGACUUUAACCAGGACAUCUGACAGUGAGGUUCCAGAUGUGGAAUCUCGUGAAGACUUAAUUAAAAAUCACUACAUGGCAAGGAUAGUGGAACUUACGUCUCAGUUGCAGCUGGCUGACAGUAAGUCAGUGCAUUUUUAUGCCGAGUGCCGAGCACUGUCUAAAAGACUGGCCUUGGCUGAAAAGUCUAAGGAAGCAUUGACAGAAGAAAUGAAACUUGCCAGUCAGAACAUCAGCAGACUUCAGGAUGAGCUGACAACUACCAAGAGGAGUUACGAGGAUCAGUUAAGUAUGAUGAGUGACCACCUGUGCAGCAUGAAUGAGACAUUAUCUAAACAGAGAGAAGAGAUUGACACACUAAAGAUGUCCAGUAAGGGGAAUUCUAAAAAGAACAAGAGUCGAUAGUUUUGAAAUAGCUGGUUGGCGACUGUUCUUUCCAGACCUGCUCCUGCUGCACAGAGCCGCAGGGCUGAGACCACGUCCAUGCUGGCUGCCUUCAGGAAGCUAAAGUAUUGUUGGACCUAGUAAACUAGUCAGUGUUGGAAACGGCCUUGAAAUAUUUAAAACAUAUUUGUAACCAGUGAGGCAAAUACAGAAGUUGAUGUCGGCAGUAAAUGGAAAACAAUACGUAUGUCAUGGAUAUUGUAGGUUUCCUUAUGCUGUUUUUACUGUGCACUUUUUAAAAUUAGGUUUUAAUUUCAGUAUGUAAGAACAAAUAUUUUGUAUACUUUCAAACUCAAUUAUAUGGUAAUCGAUUUGGUAUCUAUGGAAUAGAUAUAUGUUUCUGGAAAAAAAUGCUUAAAUUGUCAAACUGUCAUUACUUCUUAUUAUAGUUGAAGGCAUUCUCCAGAUUCUUUUUAAAAGAUUUGUUCAUAUUUCUCUCUCUCUCUCUCUCUCUCUCUCUCUCUUCUUUCUCUCUGAGGGAGAGGGAGCCCUCCAAACUUCAGAUCCUGUGGGUUUAGUAUCAUUAUCUUCAGCUCUUUGAUACCCUGUGUUAGAGUAAUAGCUAAAGGAAGUUCAUGUCAAUAAAUUCAUACUUAUAUCACA